CUGGCACCUCGGCCUGCGCAAACAGAUUGCUCGUCCUCCUCGGGGAAAGCUAGGAAAACAGUGCUAAGCCUUGCAAGCUGCCGCCCAUUAAUGCCUCUUAGCUUGCAAGAUGGGUUACUUGCUCAGAGCACAGCCCGCCCCUCUUGGCUUCUCACUUUCUCCUCCCCCUCGUCCCUUCUGUGUCCCACCCCCCCCUCGCUGCGGUACUCUCUCGCCUUCGCCCGCACUCUCCCUCCUCUCUUCCUUUUGUUUCCCGUUCUCCGAUUUUCCCCUCCUUUCCUCUUCCCUUCUUUGUCUUCCUCCUUUUCCCUCCCCUCGGUUUUCCUCUGUUCGGUUCCUCACUUCCUCUUCCUUCUCCUCUCCCCCUCCUCUUCGGCCCUCCGUGGCCCCUGGCCUCGCUCUCCACAGUCCCCCGGCUCAGAUUCGGUCCGGAGACUCCUGCCUGCCUCUCCCCUUCCCGAGUCGAUGGGGACAGGACCCUCCUGGAAGACGAAUAUGAUGAAAAAGGACAGAUAUCCACAUGGAACCGAGAGAUGGUGGGCUUUAGCAGAGUGUUGAGCAACCAGUAGUACCAUUAAUGAAGUGGGAGCCCAGACCCUGCAAUGGCCUGCAGCUUCUGGGGGAGGGGGGUUCCUCCUCACUUCCAUCCUCCAGGACCAAGUCCUACUAAAAAAUUAAAAGAACUUGGAAUAACUGAA